rnacentral:rRNA from 1 species
CCUACGGGAGGCAGCAGUGAGGAAUAUUGGUCAAUGGCCGGAAGGCUGAACCAGCCAAGCCGCGUGAGGGAGGAAGGCGCAGAGCGUCGCAGACCUCUUUUGCCGGGGGACAAAAGGCCGGACGGGUCCGGUUCUGAGGGUACCCGGAGAAAAAGCAUCGGCAAACUCCGUGCCAGCAGCCGCGGUAAUACGGAGGAUGCGAGGGUUAUCCGGAUGCAGUGGGUUAAAGGGGUGUGCAGGCGGGCCCUAAAGCCGGCGGUGAAAUCGCGGGGCUCAACCCCGCCGAGCCGUGGGAACUGGGGGCCUUGAGUGCGGCGGGGGCAUGCGGAAUGCGCGGUGUAGCGGUGAAAUGCGUAGAUAUCGCGCAGAACCCCGAUUGCGAAGGCAGCGUACCGUGCCGCCACUGACGCUGAGGCACGAAAGCGCGGGGAUCGAACAGGAUUAGAUACCCUUGUAGUC